ACUCAAAGGAAUUGACGGGGGCCCGCACAAGCGGUGGAGCAUGUGGUUCAAUUCGACGCAACGCGAAGAACCUUACCUGGGCUCGAACGGCUUCAGACAGUCGUGGAAACACGAUCUUCCCCUUAAAAGGACUGGAGUCGAGGUGCUGCAUGGCUGUCGUCAGCUCGUGUCGUGAGAUGUUGGGUUAAGUCCCGCAACGAGCGCAACCCUUGUCCUGUGUUGCCAUCAUUAAGUUGGGCACUCUCGGGAGACCGCCAGCGAUAAGUUGGAGGAAGGUGGGGAUGAUGUCAAGUCAUCAUGGCCUUUAUGUCCAGGGCUACACACGUGCUACAAUGGACGGUACAAACCGCUGCAAACCCGCGAGGGAGAGCUAAUCGGAAAAAACCGUUCUCAGUUCGGAUCGCAGGCUGCAACUCGCCUGCGUGAAGCUGGAAUCGCUAGUAAUGCCGUAUCAGAACGACGGCGUGAAUACGUUCCCGGGCCUUGUACACACCGCCCGU
rnacentral:rRNA from 1 species